GGCUUGGGUUUAAAGGUGGGUGGUUGGUUAGUGGUUAGUAAAAAGGGCGAAAAUCGUAACAAGUGUCGUUUUUCGUAAAAUACCUUGUUUUUAGUGACUUAUUAUUUUUGAAGUAUUUCUCCAAACAAGCUUUUGUAGCUUUUGUUUGUUUUUGACUUCAUCAUCUAGUUUUUUUUUUUUUUUUUUUUUUAGUCACUUGAAAGGGCAAGUUGACGAAAAACCGAGCUUGUUACUAAAAUAAAGGGUGAAAAAAAUGAAAAAGGUUUAG
rnacentral:lncRNA from 1 species